AGACACUUGACAUGUGACAUCUUGUCAGAUCCUCAAACACCCCGGUGAGGAAAGCGUUAUUAUCCCUGUUUUCCAAAUGAGGACACUGAGGCUCAGGGAGCUGGGUGAUGUGUCAAAAGUUGCCCAGCUGCAGAGUGGCAAUGCUGGAAUUUGAAGCCAGGCUUUUCUGAUUCUGAAUUCCAUGUUUUCUUACUUGCCUUUUUCUUCUGCUCCAGCUUGCAGUGCCUCGGAGAGGUGGCGCUGGCUAGCCUGGGACUUCCAACAUACAGCCUACAUUGAUGGCCUGAGACUUGUGGCAAAAAAGACUUUCAAAAUCUAAUUUGCUCACAUACAUGAACACCUGCCAGGAAGGAAUUUGAGGCCUUUGUUCUAAACAUGGAAAAGCUGAGUUCAUUUGCCCCAGAGGGGGCACCUGCAGGGAAAAGGAAAAAUGGUUUUAACCCUUUCCUUGAGUCAGAAAAUGAGGCCACCAGAUUCUCCUUUCAUCCUUCAAGUAUCAGAAAGGUCUGUGCUGUGAAUUCCACAGAUGAGAUUCAUUGCAAGAUGUGAGGGCAGAGGAAAUCCAUGGAAAUGAAAUCCACAUUCAAACUGGAUGCAUGCGUUCAGCAACUGGAAGCUGAGUUCAUAUUUCAUUGCCCAACUACCCUGACCACUUGGGAAUCGCAGGUUUGGAAGGACCCACAGCCAUUCUGUGGAAAUGGAUCUGCUUUCAGGACCGAAUCUCAGACUUCUUGGGGAAGGUUUCAGUGGCUGCCUUUGCUGUGCAGACCUGGAGAUGGGUCUGAUGAUCGGACACCUGAAUUAUCUGUGUGGCUGAGUUUCAAGAAGACCUGCUGGGGUGAAAUGAAAAUGGUGCCUACUAGAAGCCCCAGUGGCUUUGCUGGUGGAGGCUAGCUUGCUCAUGUCCUCAUACAGAAGCAGAGAUGCAAGCAAGUGAGAAGGUGGAAGGACUCAGGUCUUGGGCCUUACUCUGAGAACUAUAACACCAUUCCUUCUGCUGCAUUCUCUUGUCUAAAAUUUGCUCCUCCACUGGCUCUUCUUGUAGACACACGACUGCUACAGUAUCAAGGGUCUGAUGCAGACAUGACAAUGUCAAGAGGAAGAGGAGAGCCUCGCUCUUCCCAGGCUUUUGCUUUUAAGAGCAGAAAAACUUUCCCCAGAGUUCCACCAGCUCACUUCUCAUCUUACUUCUUUGGCCAGAACUGGCCCUUGUGCCCAUAUUGUCAGUCAAAUGCCGACAAAGGAAAGGGGCCACUAUGAGUGGUUUAGACUUGGAUUGGAUUUGUCCUUAUUGGAUUGUCCUUAAGUCCUUUGAAAAAGAAGUAUACAACAGAAUGAAAUCUUGACUCAGCUUUCAAGAAUAAAGAGGGUGAGAUGACUGAUGGAUGGCUAGCAAAAUCAGAUGUGGGCUCUGUCCUCAUGGAGCAUACAGUCAGAAGGGGAAGAUUUACCUAAUUACACUAACAAACUUAUAACUGUGGUCAGUGUUCUGAAGGAAAGGAAAUCCAGUUGUAUGGUAACGUAUAACAAAGAAACUGAACUAGGAUGGAGAUGGGGGUGGUAAGUGUAGUUGGGGAAGCCAGGGACAUGAUCUGUAAGAUGGCUGGCCUGGAUUCAAAUUCCACUCCACUUACUUGCUGUGUGAUUUUAGAUUAGUCGCUUCUCCUCUCUGAGCUCAACUUCAUCUAUAACAAUCUUUCCUAGGGUUGUUAAAGGAUUGAAUGAGCCACUCUAUGUAACCACUUGACACAUAUUAGGCACUUCAGUGGCUCCUUUUCCAGAUUAAAGAAGGAGAAAACGUGUAUGUUUGGAGUUAGCACAAGACAGGAUGAUUCCUCAUGUUUGUUUUGGAAAACAAGUCUUAAACUCACAGCCAUGACAGAGUCUGACAUCAUCAGACAUCAGGCGUGUUAAGAAUUGCACUCUUAAUUGAAAAUGUCCAGAGUUUGUGAUUAAUUGCAAUCCUUUUCAGAUCCUUUCCCUAAGAAUUUAAUUUUUCUCCCCACCCACCCGGAGGUCAGGCUUUUAAUGUAACAAGUACAAUCAAUCUUCCACUGAAGAUGGCCUCUCUCUAGUGCAAGCUGGAGCAGGACUCAUCUGGAUUAGAAGCCUAGACGGUUUGGAGUCACCUGGUGAGGUUUACGUGCACAGCUGGGGCCCAGCCUACCUAAUUAGGACCAGAGAGUGGUUGAGAAGGGGACCGGCGCGUAUUCUAGGCGCCCUCCUCCAGUGUCUGUUUCUAAUAAUGGCAGAAAGUAGCAGAGGCGGCGGGGUGAGCUUGGAGCGUGGUGACAUCAUCCCUCCAGCUGUUUUACACAUCUGUGACAUGGCUCAUUAGGACUCUCUUAACACCUCAUCCUUCCCUGCUCCACACAGCUCCAGUUGCAUGAGAAAAGGUGCUCUUGCAUGUGAGGGGCCCCAAGACUGGGGCUGACUUCAGGGUCAAAGAUUCGCUUGGGCACUCUACCAGUCAUCAGAAUUUUCACAGAGACACCCCCCCAACACACACACCCGCAGCAUGCGCUCCUUGAAAGUGCUAAUAGCUUCAAUAUGAGGCUGGCACUUCUGCAUGACUGUUGGUGUUCAGGGCCAGCCUAGUCUUGGGGAGUAGGCCAUCUGUAGCAGCUGCAGAAAUGUUUUUGCUUAUUUUGAGCAUUCUAAGUUUUUCCUAGCCAUGAAUAACAACAAUCGAAUAAAUCAUCCCACAGUGUGUAGGAUGGUCGUUUUUUUGUUUUUUUUUUUCAGCAAGAACAACAAAAAAUGACAUAUCAUGUACUAUGGAUAAUACACAUAAAAAAUUCCGCCAUAUUUAUAGGCAGCAGUUAACUAACUAUAUUUAGAUAUUUGAAACUGUCUUAAAUCAGAUGAAUGAUAAAAGCUUCCUGGAUUUCAGUGGAAAGCCUAAAUGACUAAACCAAAAAAAAAAAAAAAAGUUUUAUUACUAUGAAGUAUAGUGCAUAUUCUGAAAUAAAAGAUAUGUGAUAUUUAUAAAAUAAAAAGAGAAACUUUGUCAAUAGACAGCAUCAUUUAAUAAAGCAGGGUCCCAGAUUUACAGACCUUUGUUUGAGUUCUAAAAUUUACUAGGAAGGAGGGUGCAGGGGUGGAAGCCGUUCAUUGUAGCUCUUUAAAUUUCCUCACUUUUGAAUGGAGAUGAUAAAAUGCCCCUCACAGGGUUUUUGAGAGGACUAAAAAUAUAAGGUAUGGAAAGUGUUUAGCAUUGUGCCUAUCACAAAGUUAGUGCUUGAAUAUAUUAGCUAUUGUCAUUAAUACUAUUGCUAUUCUUAUUUCUUCUACAACUGUUAUUGUUGAAAUGCGAAGUCAAAAUGGUACAUUUUUAUCAACUAUUAAGUGCUAUCAUGUUUCAAUUAAUACAUAAUGUUAUUGAUUAGAAGAUGAUUAUAGUAUUGUCUCUAAGGAAGAAAAAAGGCUGCCUGUUAAACCAUGGUUUAACAAAUUCUGGAGUACGGGCGCAGUGGCUCAUGCCUGUAAGCCCAGAACUUUGGGAGGCCGAGGCUCACGAGGUCAGGAGUUGGAGACCAGCCUGACCAACGUGGUGAAACCCCAUCUCUACUAAAAAUGCAAAAAUUAGCCUGGCGUGGUGGCGCACGCCUGUAAUCCCAGGUACUCAGGAGGCUGAGGCAGGAGAAUUGCUUAAACCCAGUAGGCGGAGGUUGCAGUGAGCCGAGAUUGUGCCACUGCACUCCAGCCUGGGCGACAGCGACAGAGCAAGACUCCGUCCGCCCCCCCUCCCGCCCCCACCCUAAAAAAAGAAUCAAAUUCUGGAAAGCAUCAAUCAUCUCUCAGGCCUUUGAAAAUGAUCUAAUUUUGUAGAUCAAACCCUCUGUGCUUGCAGGUAGGCUCACGAAUGCAGAAAGUGCAUGCUGUGAGCCAUGCUGUACACCUCCUCAUUGUCCAUUUCUCUUCUGGUAUCUCUCAAGGUGUGUGGUCAGGUUAAGAGAUUGAGACUUAAGCCAGGCAGGUGUUACUUCCUCUCACCAUGACAAAACCUGGGACAAUGAGAAGAGGAUAGAUUCUUUCCUCCCGAGGGUGCUGAGGCAGGAUCAGAAUCUCUCCCUCGGGUCUGAAACAGAUCAUAUAGAAGGUUCAAAGCUGCAAGAACCAUUCUGAAACCAUAAGAAUCCUGAGAACGAAGCCCACCUCAUGCUAAUUGUGGAGACCAAGCUUAUUUGAGUUUACUUGAGCCCUUGGAUCCAGCCGUGCCUGAAGACUUUUUAAUAACAGGAAUAAAAAAUUCUAUUUUGGAUAAAGCACUUUGAGUUGGAUUUUCUAUUACUUGCAGCUUAAAAGCUGAAAUGGUCCUAUGUGAUAAGGGAAUGAGACGAUGAUUUUGAGCAUUUAAUCU
rnacentral:lncRNA from 1 species